rnacentral:tRNA from 1 species
GAGCCAUUAGCUCAGUUGGUAGAGCAUCUGACUUUUAAUCAGAAGGUCAGAGGUUCGAAUCCUCUAUGGCUCACCA